GAUGAUAGGUUAUUAAUUAUAUUAUAAAUGGUUAUGUUCUGGUCAAUGAAAUAAUACCCUUAGGAGAAUUCUGCUUUGCAUUUUUCUAUGCAUUACUAACAUCACUAAACCAGACAUUUGUUUUAUAAGUUAACCAAAUAUUCGCAGAGAUUCAGCGGUUUUUGUCUGACGCGUUUGCCAUUCAUGCCAGUCAGUGAAAAAAAAGUAACUGUGGCCCUGUUUGCAGGUAUUAAGAUUCGUUUUCAUCAAUCUGAUGCAACUUUUAUUAUUUACAGGACGUAAAAAUGCAAUUAAAAGUUUCAAAUCAAU
ensembl:processed_transcript